GCUAGCUACAGGCUUAACACAUGCAAGUCGAGGGGUAGCAUGGUCUUAGCUUGCUAAGGCCGAUGGCGACCGGCGCACGGGUGAGUAACACGUAUCCAACCUGCCGUCUACUCUUGGACAGCCUUCUGAAAGGAAGAUUAAUACAAGAUGGCAUCAUGAGUCCGCAUGUUCACAUGAUUAAAGGUAUUCCGGUAGACGAUGGGGAUGCGUUCCAUUAGAUAGUAGGCGGGGUAACGGCCCACCUAGUCUUCGAUGGAUAGGGGUUCUGAGAGGAAGGUCCCCCACAUUGGAACUGAGACACGGUCCAAACUCCUACGGGAGGCAGCAGUGAGGAAUAUUGGUCAAUGGGCGAGAGCCUGAACCAGCCAAGUAGCGUGAAGGAUGACUGCCCUAUGGGUUGUAAACUUCUUUUAUAAAGGAAUAAAGUCGGGUAUGGAUACCCGUUUGCAUGUACUUUAUGAAUAAGGAUCGGCUAACUCCGUGCCAGCAGCCGCGGUAAUACGGAGGAUCCGAGCGUUAUCCGGAUUUAUUGGGUUUAAAGGGAGCGUAGAUGGAUGUUUAAGUCAGUUGUGAAAGUUUGCGGCUCAACCGUAAAAUUGCAGUUGAUACUGGAUAUCUUGAGUGCAGUUGAGGCAGGCGGAAUUCGUGGUGUAGCGGUGAAAUGCUUAGAUAUCACGAAGAACUCCGAUUGCGAAGGCAGCCUGCUAAGCUGCAACUGACAUUGAGGCUCGAAAGUGUGGGUAUCAAACAGGAUUAGAUACCCUGGUAGUCCACACGGUAAACGAUGAAUACUCGCUGUUUGCGAUAUACUGCAAGCGGCCAAGCGAAAGCGUUAAGUAUUCCACCUGGGGAGUACGCCGGCAACGGUGAAACUCAAAGGAAUUGACGGGGGCCCGCACAAGCGGAGGAACAUGUGGUUUAAUUCGAUGAUACGCGAGGAACCUUACCCGGGCUUAAAUUGCAGAUGAAUUACGGUGAAAGCCGUAAGCCGCAAGGCAUCUGUGAAGGUGCUGCAUGGUUGUCGUCAGCUCGUGCCGUGAGGUGUCGGCUUAAGUGCCAUAACGAGCGCAACCCUUGUUGUCAGUUACUAACAGGUUCCGCUGAGGACUCUGACAAGACUGCCAUCGUAAGAUGUGAGGAAGGUGGGGAUGACGUCAAAUCAGCACGGCCCUUACGUCCGGGGCUACACACGUGUUACAAUGGGGGGUACAGAGGGCCGCUACCACGCGAGUGGAUGCCAAUCCCCAAAACCUCUCUCAGUUCGGACUGGAGUCUGCAACCCGACUCCACGAAGCUGGAUUCGCUAGUAAUCGCGCAUCAGCCACGGCGCGGUGAAUACGUUCCCGGGCCUUGUACACACCGCCCGUCAAGCCAUGGGAGCCGGGGGUACCUGAAGUGCGUAACCGCGAGGAGCGCCCUAGGGUAAAACUGA
rnacentral:rRNA from 1 species